UCCAUUUCGAUAUUUUAGCAGAAACCAGCUGACAGUUUGUUCUUGUAGACUACUCGAGUUAGAUUUGUCUUCGAUGACAAGUCACUGGAGGUGAAAGUAGGGGACCAGCUUCCGGAUUCAGGUGAAAAUGUCUUUGUGGGUGGCAAAAACCGUUGGAAGUACUCAACAUUUGUGAAUUGGGAACUUUGGUGGCCAAGUUUCCCCAUUCUGGUGUAUUUUAAGGAGACUCAGACAAAGCCUGAAGGACAGGUUCACUUUUUCCCAGUCAUUUUUAACGGAAAACAACUCUACGACGUAAUGGUAGAAAGAGCCUAUCCUUCGAAAACUAGCGGUCCAAAAUAAUCGAGAAGAUUUGGACUUAUAUGAUGAGAGAUUCCGAGAUCAAACUUCAAAAGCAUAAGGUUAAAGCUUGCCAUGCCUGUCAUUUAUUUGAAGCAUCACGAAGUCUAGAAUGCACCUGGUCUUCAUCAUCAGAUCUAUCAU